rnacentral:rRNA from 2 species
GUAAUAAUCCUGUAGUCGAAAAUGUUGUCUCUCUUGAGUGGAUCCUGAGUACGACGGAGCACGUGAAAUUCCGUCGGAAUCUGGGAGGACCAUCUCCUAAGGCUAAAUACUCUCUAGUGACCGAUAGUGAACCAGUACCGUGAGGGAAAGGUGAAAAGCACCCCGGAAGGGGAGUGAAAUAGAACCUGAAACCGUGUGCUUACAAGUAGUCAGAGCCCGUUAAUGGGUGAUGGCGUGCCUUUUGUAGAAUGAACCGGCGAGUUACGAUUUGAUGCAAGGUUAAGCAGUAAAUGUGGAGCCGUAGCGAAAGCGAGUCUGAAUAGGGCGUUUAGUAUUUGGUCGUAGACCCGAAACCAGGUGAUCUACCCUUGGUCAGGUUGAAGUUCAGGUAACACUGAAUGGAGGACCGAACCGACUUACGUUGAAAAGUGAGCGGAUGAACUGAGGGUAGCGGAGAAAUUCCAAUCGAACCUGGAGAUAGCUGGUUCUCUCCGAAAUAGCUUUAGGGCUAGCCUCAAGUGAUGAUUAUUGGAGGUAGAGCACUGUUUGGACGAGGGGCCCCUCUCGGGUUACCGAAUUCAGACAAACUCCGAAUGCCAAUUAAUUUAACUUGGGAGUCAGAACAUGGGUGAUAAGGUCCGUGUUCGAAAGGGAAACAGCCCAGACCACCAGCUAAGGUCCCAAAAUAUAUGUUAAGUGGAAAAGGAUGUGGCGUUGCCCAGACAACUAGGAUGUUGGCUUAGAAGCAGCCAUCAUUUAAAGAGUGCGUAAUAGCUCACUAGUCGAGUGACACUGCGCCGAAAAUGUACCGGGGCUAAACAUAUUACCGAAGCUGUGGAUUGUCCUUUGGACAAUGGUAGGAGAGCGUUCUAAGGGCGUUGAAGCAUGAUCGUAAGGACAUGUGGAGCGCUUAGAAGUGAGAAUGCCGGUGUGAGUAGCGAAAGACGGGUGAGAAUCCCGUCCACCGAUUGACUAAGGUUUCCAGAGGAAGGCUCGUCCGCUCUGGGUUAGUCGGGUCCUAAGCUGAGGCCGACAGGCGUAGGCGAUGGAUAACAGGUUGAUAUUCCUGUACCACCUAUAAUCGUUUUAAUCGAUGGGGGGACGCAGUAGGAUAGGCGAAGCGUGCGAUUGGAUUGCACGUCUAAGCAGUAAGGCUGAGUAUUAGGCAAAUCCGGUACUCGUUAAGGCUGAGC